rnacentral:rRNA from 1 species
GACGAACGCUGGCGGCGUGCUUAACACAUGCAAGUCGAACGGUGAACUCCGCUUGCGGGGGGAUCAGUGGCGAACGGGUGAGUAACACGUGGGCAACCUGCCCUCAGCUCUGGGAUAACUCCAAGAAAUUGGGGCUAAUACCGGAUAUGACCGCUGACCGCAUGGUCUGGUGGUGGAAAGAUUUAUCGGCUGGGGAUGGGCCCGCGGCCUAUCAGCUUGUUGUUGGGGUAGUGGCCUACCAAGGCGACGACGGGUAGCCGGCCUGAGAGGGUGACCGGCCACACUGGGACUGAGACACGGCCCAGACUCCUACGGGAGGCAGCAGUGGGGAAUAUUGCGCAAUGGGCGAAAGCCUGACGCAGCGACGCCGCGUGGGGGAUGACGGCCUUCGGGUUGUAAACCUCUUUCAGCAGGGACGAAGCGAAAGUGACGGUACCUGCAGAAGAAGCACCGGCCAACUACGUG